AAAAUGAAGCUGUAAAAGCUAUAAAUUUAAUUAACAAUAAGAAACUACAACUAUCGAUGUUUUAUGGUGAAUAUCGAUGCUAAUACCAGUAUAACAAUAAUACUUGAAUAACAUAAUAAAUUUGUACCCAAUAAUGCUAUUUUCAUCUCACGAUUGAUGUUAAAGAGAAAAAAAAUUGAAAAAACUGUAAUCGAACUAUCCAUUUAACCGAGCCAAGAUAUAAGUGCCUCACGAUUUUUCGAUUCGCUUGUGUUUCAUAAAACAAGAGACUAAAAACAAAUGCGAACAUAGCGUCGAUAUUGACAUUUCCCAGAAACAACAACAAAAUACAAACCGUACAUUCGUGUCUUCGUAAAUACUCGUAUAAAAUGUCAAAUUUACUUUGUAUUGUAUACGAUGAAAUACGGUGUUGACGGUUAAAUCUCAUUACGAGUGAUCGCUCGGUCGCGGAAGAUUUUGAGUCGUGAGUGUAACGGCUGUUGUGCGACUAUACUUACAAUUUAAUAAAUACAUUUCAAAUAAAAAAAAAACAUGGCCAAAGUCCGAAUGUCCACAACCAAAGCAACUCCGGCCCUGAACGUCCACGCGCGAAGUAUUAUACUGAGGACGCAGAUCUAUACAAUGGAGGAAAAGGCGUCACUAAAGGAGCUUGACCAGUGGAUAGAACAGUUAAACGAUUGCAAACAACUGACAGAAAGCCAAGUGAAAACUCUCUGCGACAAGGCUAAAGAAAUUCUGGCCAAAGAGUCCAAUGUACAGGAAGUGAAAUGUCCGGUUACCGUGUGUGGCGAUGUUCAUGGUCAGUUCCAUGAUUUGAUGGAAUUGUUUCGAAUAGGAGGCAAAUCUCCAGACACAAACUACCUGUUCAUGGGCGACUAUGUCGAUCGUGGUUAUUACUCCGUCGAAACAGUGACUCUCCUUGUUGCACUGAAGGUUCGAUAUCGCGAAAGAAUAACCAUCCUGAGAGGCAAUCAUGAAUCGAGACAAAUCACUCAAGUUUACGGUUUUUACGAUGAAUGUCUCCGUAAAUACGGAAACGCAAACGUGUGGAAAUUUUUUACUGAUUUAUUCGAUUAUCUGCCAUUAACGGCGCUCGUCGAUGGUCAAAUAUUCUGUCUACACGGCGGUCUCUCACCAUCGAUCGACACGCUGGAUCAUAUUCGUGCGCUGGAUCGUCUUCAAGAAGUGCCACAUGAGGGACCCAUGUGCGAUCUUUUGUGGUCCGAUCCCGAUGACAGAGGAGGGUGGGGAAUUUCUCCACGUGGUGCCGGUUAUACAUUCGGUCAGGACAUUUCUGAAACGUUUAAUCACUCAAACGGCCUGACUCUUGUGUCGCGAGCUCAUCAACUGGUCAUGGAGGGUUACAACUGGUGUCACGAUCGUAACGUCGUAACAAUAUUCUCGGCACCCAAUUAUUGUUACCGUUGUGGUAACCAAGCCGCAAUAAUGGAAUUGGAUGAUACUCUGAAAUAUUCAUUCCUCCAGUUUGAUCCAGCACCUCGGCGCGGUGAGCCACACGUAACUAGACGGACACCUGAUUACUUCCUGUAAGGAGUCGACGGAUAAGAGAAGCGGAAGAAAACAAAAAAGAACCCCGAAGGAGGUAGUUGUUAAGCUGGAUCCAUCAUCGCUAAUUGCAUACGCCUUCUGGUGACGUCUAAGGGAUAGGAAAAACUUUGAGCUACAGCACCGGCGAUUCCACCGCAGAGCAAUUUUGCUGGCAAUGUCAGUACCAAUCCACCUGUUUUAAGAAAGAGAGAGAGAGAGGGAAAAAAGAAAUGAUAAAAUGUCAAAUAAUCUGUACGUGUUUAUUUUUCUUCUUGACGUUACAAUUAUUUAUGAGUCAUCUUACAACUUCGAUCUGCAUCUGAACCUUCUGCAAUUGAUUUACAAUUUUUUGAUAAUUUUCAUGCACUUUUGAAAGCAUUUUCUAUUUUUUAAGACUUUUUGUAAACAAUUUUCAUCACAAUCUUCUGAAUUUAAUGUCAAAUUCUCUCUAUUUAUUAUGGUCAAUGAUUUGACUAUUUAUAAAAGUAAUUUUCAAUAUUAAAUUGCAAUAUAAAAACAACGAGUUUUAUUGUCCAACUAAACAUUUGCGUAAUUUACAAUCAGAGGUAGAUCAAGUUGAGCGCAAUGUCUCAUGUAUUUUAUAUGUACCGUAUAUGCAUAUAUGAAUAAUAUGUAAACUUCGUCGUAAUGAAAGCUCUUAAAUAUUGCAAAGAGAUGCGAAACCGUGGCAUUUUUUGUUGUUGAUUUUAUUAUUAUUCUUGAUUAUUUUCGUUUGUCAAAUUGAUUUUCGUCGUUUUCAAUCUCGUAUACGAUCGAGAAAGCACAUGCGUUAUAUUUCUGGCGUUACGAAAAACGGACAAAGAACUCACCAGUAUUUCUAGGGCAUUCGCUGCACAGUAAAUUCGGGGCGUAUCUCAUCGAGAAAUAUUUCAAUUUCUCAAAAGAAUAGAAGGAAAAUCCUGCGUAUGGGAUCAUGCCGAUAAUCGAGGGUAAAAAUCCUCGGUACAGGGCCCUCAGUCCACCCUCCUGAAAGAAAAUAUGAUUGAUGUAUAUCGCAACAAGAAAUAUCAAUAAAGAAUGUGGCAAGUGA
rnacentral:misc_RNA from 1 species